rnacentral:rRNA from 1 species
UACGUAGGGGGCUAGCGUUGUCCGGAAUCAUUGGGCGUAAAGCGCGCGUAGGCGGCCUGGUAAGUCCGCUGUGAAAGUCCAGGGCUCAACCCUGGAAAGCCGGUGGAUACUGUCGGGCUCGAGUCCGGAAGAGGCGAGUGGAAUUCCUGGUGUAGCGGUGGAAUGCGCAGAUAUCAGGAGGAACACCGAUGGCGAAGGCAGCUCGCUGGGACGGUACUGACGCUGAGGCGCGAAAGCGUGGGGAGCGAACAGG